AGAGUUUGAUCCUGGCUCAGAACGAACGCUGGCGGCGUGCCUAAUACAUGCAAGUCGCACGAGAACCCGGGGGCAACUCCGGUAGUAAAGUGGCGAAAGGGUGAGUAAUACAUCGACAACGUACCCUGGGGCCGGGGAUAACCCCGCGAAAGCGGGGCUAAUACCCGAUAACGAGGCCUUGGCGCAUGCCGAGGCUUCCAAAGGUCCGCCGCCCUUGGAGCGGUCGAUGGCCUAUCAGCUAGUUGGCGGGGUAACGGCCCACCAAGGCUCCGACGGGUAGCCGGCCUGAGAGGGCGAUCGGCCACAUUGGGACUGAGACACAGCCCAGACUCCUACGGGAGGCAGCAGUAGGGAAUAUUGCGCAAUGGGCGAAAGCCUGACGCAGCGACGCCGCGUGAGGGAAGAAGGCCUUCGGGUUGUAAACCUCUGUCACCCGGGACGAACACUGACGUUACCGGGGGAGGAAGCACCGGCUAACUCCGUGCCAGCAGCCGCGGUAAUACGGAGAGUGCAAGCGUUGUUCGGAUUCACUGGGCGUAAAGGGUCCGUAGGCGGUCGGGUAACUCCGUCGUGGAAUCCCCGCUUCGAUGGCGGGAACGGCGUCGGAAAGCGCCCGGCUAGAGGAUCGGAGGGGUGGGUGGAACUCCCGGUGGAGCGGUGAAAUGCGUAGAGAUCGGGAGGAACGCCGGAGGCGAAAGCGACCCACUGGCUGAUCCCUGACGCUGAUGGACGAAAGCUGGGGGAGCAAACGGGAUUAGAUACCCCGGUAGUCCCAGCCUUAAACGAUGAGGACUGAGUGGGGGGGGUACCAAUGCCUUCUCUGCUGUAGCUAACGCGUUAAGUCCUCCGCCUGGGGAGUACGGCCGCAAGGUUAAAACUCAAAGGAAUUGACGGGGGCUCGCACAAGCGGUGGAGCAUGUGGUUUAAUUCGAUUCAACGCGAAGAACCUUACCAGGGCUUGAAAUGCUGGAGGUAGAACCCUGAAAGGGGAACGAGCCGUUAAAUCGGUAACCAGCACAGGUGUUGCAUGGCUGUUGUCAGCUCGUGUCGUGAGAUGUUGGGUUAAGUCCCGUAACGAGCGAAACCCUUGCCCUUAGUUGCUAACGGUUCGGCCGAGCACUCUAAGGGGACUGCCCGUGUCGAAUGGGAGGAAGGUGGGGAUGACGUCAAGUCAUCAUGGCCCCUAUGUCCUGGGCUACACACGUGCUACAAUGGCCGGUACAAAGGGUUGCCAACCCGCAAGGGGGAGCCAAUCCCAUAAAACCAGUCCCAGUUCAGAUCGGGGGCUGAAAUUCGCCCCCGUGAAGUUGGAAUCGCUAGUAAUCGCGGAUCAGCCACGCCGCGGUGAAUAUGUUCCCGAGCCUUGUACACACCGCCCGUCAAGCCACCCAAGCACGGAGCGUACAAAGUCGCUUGUCCAACCGCAAGGGGGACGGUGCCUAGUACGAUACGUGUGAGGAGGGCUAAGUCGUAACAAGGU
rnacentral:rRNA from 1 species